rnacentral:tRNA from 2 species
GGCCAGAUAGCUCAGUUGGUAGAGCACGGCAUUGAAAAUGCCGGUGUCCCCGGUUCAAGUCCGGGUCUGGCCA